CUUCAUUUGACUCUCCUCUCCUACCCAUGCUUUGUCAAUAGGAGAGAUUGUGACAUAUCUCUGGAACCAGAACCUUAGUGAUGUGACGCUUCUCUCCUGCUGAAGCCAUGCCCACACAAGGGAAAGUGACUUAUCACUGGGCCCAGCACACAGGUGAUGUAAUUCUUCUGCCUGGUUUUUGUACCCAGGAGCCAUUGUAAUCUAUCUCUGGGCCCAUCAUUUAAAUGAUGUGACUGUCAUUUUCUUCCUGAGCCCUAUUCACAGGGAAAAUAAUGACACAUCUGUGGGGUUCUCACCGAAAUGAUGUGACUCUCCUGCCUGGGCUCACCUCUCAAGGGAAUUGUGACAUAUUACUGGGCCAGCCACCUAGGUGAUGUGGCUCUGACAAAGGAGAAAUUGUGAUGUACCACUGUUCCACACCUAAGAGAUUUGACUCUCAUCUUUUCAUGAGCCCUGCAUUUAUUGUGUAUUGUGACAUAUGGCUUGAUCCAACACCUUGGUGAUGUGACUCUCUACUUCUUCCUGAGCUAUGCCAAAAAAGAAGAUUGUGACAUAUCACUGGAUCCAGUACCUAGAUGAUGUAAAUCUUUUCUUUUGCUGAGCCAUGCAUAUUUUUGGUAUUGUGACAUGUCGCUGGACCCAACACCUACAGGAUUGGAUCAGAGGCUACUGAAUAAGCCCUGCCCAUAGGCGGCCUUGUGACAUAUGUCUGCAUCUAUCGCCUAAGUGAUGUGACUCUUUUUCUGCCUGCAGCCUGCACAUAGAGAAGAUUGUGACAUAUAGCUCUGCCCAGUAACCAGGUGAUGUGUCUUUUCUGGCAGGUCUUUUCCCACAGGGAGCAUUGUGAAACAUCACUGGGCUCAGCCACCAGGUUAUGUGACUCUUCUGCCUGUGCCCUGCUUCCAGAAAAUAUUGUGACAUUCCUCAUACAGCAUCCAGGUGAUGUGACUCUUCUGCUCAUUUUCUACUUACAGGAGACAUGCCCAAAAAAGGGAUUGUGGCAUAUCUCUGAGCCCAGCACCCAAAUGUUGUGACUCUCCUGCCUGAGCUGUGCCUAGAGAAAAUAUUAUAAUAUGUCACCGGACCCUGCAUGCAAGUGAUCCAAUUCUCCAGUCUGGGCCUUGCCCAUAGAGGAGAUUGAGACAUAUUCCAGGUGAAGAAUUCAGGUGGAUGGUGACUCUAAGACCAGGAUUCAACACACCUAGAAGGCUUUGACUCUGAUACCAGUCACAGAAGGCUCUGUGACUCUUCUAUUUUCUCUAGGUCAUGCAAAUGGAGGCGGAUUUUGACAUAUCAUAAAGCCAACAUAAUACACAGUCUGCAGGUGGAAUUGGGACUCUCAUGCAUGGAUCCAGUUCAUCAUUGAUACUGUGACUCAUGUACUUGGAUGCAACUCACAGGAGGUGUUGACGCUUUUUACCUGAAGCUGGGACAUGUGUGGAAUUGUGAAUCCUAGCCCUAGAUCUUCCCACAGGUGGGAUUUUGACAUAUAACUGCACCCAGCACACAGGUGAAGUAUCUCGUAUGCUCAUCCUGCCAAAAGUUAUGAGUGUCACCCUCACACAUGGACAGAGACCUCUGGUUAGGUCUUGAAUCUUGUACAUGGACACAGUCCGCAGUUGGAAUGUCAUAUGUAGAUCCAGCCACAGGUGUGAUGUUGACCUAUUUAUAAAGUUAGCUCACAGGCACAUUGAUAACUCUCAUACCUGGAUCCAGCCAAUAAAAG
rnacentral:lncRNA from 10 species